GUUUGAUUCUGGCUCAGGAUGAACGCUGGCGGCAUGCCUAAUACAUGCAAGUCGAACGGAGUGAAGCCUUCGGGUUUCAUUCAGUGGCGAACGGGUGAGUAAUACGCAGGGAACCUGGCCAUGGCAGGGGGAUACACUCUGGAAACGGAGCAUAAGACCCCAUAGGCAGUAAGGCGGCAUCGCCUUACUGUUAAAGAAAGCUGAAAGGCUUUGGCGAUGGAUGGACCUGCGGUGCAUUAGCUUGUUGGUGAGGCAACGGCUUACCAAGGCGAUGAUGCAUAGCCGGCCUGAGAGGGCGGACGGCCACACUGGGACUGAGACACGGCCCAGACUCCUGCGGGAGGCAGCAGUAGGGAAUUUUCGUCAAUGGGCGCAAGCCUGAACGAGCAAUGCCGCGUGAGUGAGGAAGGUCUUCGGACUGUAAAGCUCUGUUGCCGGGGAAAAAGGGGAAAUGCAGGAAAUGGCAUUUCAUGGAUGGUACCCGGCCAGAAAGCCACGGCUAACUACGUGCCAGCAGCCGCGGUAAUACGUAGGUGGCGAGCGUUAUCCGGAAUGAUUGGGCGUAAAGGGUGCGCAGGCGGUCUGUUAAGUCUGAAGGCAAAGGGAUGAGCUCAACUCAUUUAUGAUUCAGAAACUGGCAGACUUGAGGACAGGAGAGGGCGGUGGAACUCCAUGUGUAGCGGUAAAAUGCGCAGAGAUAUGGAAGAACGCCAGUGGCGAAGGCGGCCGCCUGGCCUGUGACUGACGCUGAGGCACGAAAGCGUGGGGAGCAAAUAGGAUUAGAUACCCUAGUAGUCCACGCCGUAAACGAUGAGGAGCAGGUGUUGGGAGUGAAAUCUCAGUGCCGAAGCCAACGCAGUGACUCCUCCGCCUGGGGGGUAUGCACGCAAGUGUGAAACUCAAAGGAAUUGACGGGGGCCCGCACAAGCGGUGGAGUAUGUGGUUUAAUUCGAAGCAACGCGAAGAACCUUACCAGGUUUUGACAUCGGAUGCGAAGGUGCAGAGAUGCGCUGGAGGUUAACAUCCAGACAGGUGGUGCAUGGUUGUCGUCAGCUCGUGUCGUGAGAUGUUCAGUUAAGUCUGGCAACGAGCGCAACCCCCGUGGUAUGUUACUAACGCUUAGGGCGAGGACUCAUAUCAGACUGCCGGUGACAAACCGGAGGAAGGCGGGGAUGACGUCAAAUCAUCAUGCCCCUUAUGACCUGGGCUACACACGUACUACAAUGGCGUCUACAGAGGGAAGCGACCCUGAGAAGGGAAGCGAAACCGGAAAAGGGCGUCCCAGUUCGGAUUGAAGUCUGCAACCCGACUUCAUGAAGAUGGAAUCGCUAGUAAUCGCGGAUCAGCAUGCCGCGGUGAAUACGUUCCCGGGCCUUGUACACACCGCCCGUCAAACCAUGGAAGCCGGCAACGCCCGAAGCCGGUGGCAUAACCUUUUAGGAGUGAGCCGUCGAAGGCGGGGCCGAUGACUGGGGUUAAGUCGUAACAAGGUAUCC
rnacentral:rRNA from 1 species